GUUUGGCCAUGCAGGUCAGGUGACCCAUGAGAUGAGCAUGCGCACUGAACCUACUGCUGCUGGUCCGUGAAACAAACAGGAGGACGGUCACACAGAGUUUCAACAACAAAAACGCUGGAAUCAGUCGAUUGAGAGCUGACCAGCCACACCCAGAGGAGGAUCCAGCAGUGUCUGGAGCUCCACCUGCUAAGCAUGGUACUUCAUCUAGUGAUUCAGAGGGCAUGUCAGUAGGUGAUGGUGACACCGAUGACAGAGAGGCUCCUCAUGUUGUACAAGUACAUGCUGCCCCACCUGGACCUCAUGACGUUUCACAGUCCAGAGCAGCAGGUCCUACACAGCCUCAACUUAAGGUAUUUCCAUGAACCAUGCAUGGCAACUGGAAGAGGUCCUUCAACAGCGAGUGGUAUAAACAACACCCAUGGCUUGAUUACUCCCAAAGCCAAAACUCUGCCUACUGUUUUUCAUGUCGACACUUCUCUUUGCCAAACACCCCACCAUCUGUAUUCACACUGGGAUUCUCUCAUUGGAAAAAGGCAAUGUACAAAGAUGGUGGAUUUAAAGUACAUGAAAAGUCAGAGGGUCAUGUCAAUGCCAUGUUUGCCUGGGGUGAGCACAAGAAGGCAAUAGUAACAGAUUGUUCCAUACAUGAUGCCCUUAAUGAAGUAUACAACAAGAAAGUCCAAGAGAAUCGAAAAUAUAUUAAAACAGUGGCUGAAGUACUCCUUUUGACGGCAACACAAAACAUUGCACAACGAGGUCACCAUGAGA